GUGACGAGGCUUGACGGGCGCCACUUGACAGUCUGCCGUCAGAGGAGACAGACGCGCCAUCUCCCUGCAGCAUCAUCUCCAUCCGCGCUGUUUGGACCUUGUCGUCACCUCCUUGGUAGUCAGGGCGGCAGCUGGGCUGAAGGAGCACAACCGAGGCCGGGACUCAAACCCUCACCAGCGAGAUACUUGCCAGCGUGAGCCGACUUUCCUGCCAGCUCCAGGCAUUGUUGACGACGAAAACUCCGCUCCGUUCCGCCGACCUCAGAUUAAAUAGCCGAGCCCUGACAACCCCCUGUUUAGUCUAGCACUGUAAGCCGCCACAGACUGAGGGACCGCCGUAGGGUAGUUCCAUAAAUCCCCGUGAAUCGUGACGUUGGUGAGACAUAGAAAGCUACACACACCGUCCGCUGCCCGCCCGCCGCCGACACCCACACCGGAAGAGCCAUCCUGUGCUGUCUAGUUUUAUGACAGCCUGAAGCACUUGCAAGGUAAGCGUGUCCACCUGUCUGCCUGUCUCUACCUGUCCAGCGGUAAGUUCCUCCAGUGUUCCCAGGUGUUAUUUGUGUCUUACCUGUUCUUUUUUUUAUGAAGAGAAGAGAGCUAGCCAAGGGAAAAAAAGAUUAAAAAAAAGGCCCACUUGAGUGUUGGCUCUCUACAAAGGAAAAACCGUCAGCCAAAAUUAGGGAGGAAAUGCCUCGAUACCUCCCUCUUAAAAGAACCUCUAACUGUGGGACGCUUGUAAAGUUGAUUGGAGAAGGAAUUAUGUUGCUUGUAAUUGUCACGUGUAGAGAUAAGGGAGGGUGAGGAAAAGACAGGAAAAGUGACACAUUGUAGGUUGUUUGAAAUGAUCUCGUAUGUAAUUAUUGUUUGUUCGCCGUAAUUCAUGAAGCGAUAAUGACGAUGAUGACUGCGAUAGACAAGGAAAGGAAGAAGUUAGUGUUUUUUUGAGGAUACUUAUGCCUUAUGAUAGAGAAAUAUGAUGAAUAAGAAGAGACGGUUUAUAAACACCACGCUUCCCAAUUAGAUGAGGAUAAACAGGAGUAGUGAUGAUAAUUGUGAGAAGAGGAAAAGAAAGAAAAAAAGAGGAUUAUGAAUUGUGAAAAAGGGGGAAAAUUGAAAUAAGAAAAGGAAAACAACACGUGAACAAUACAUUACAAAAAUCAUUAUAAUAUACAGAAAAAAUAUGUAUAGAAUGAAAUAUGCAUGACUGUUGACCAAUCUGAAGUGUGUGUGUGUGUGUGUGUGUGUGUGUGUGUGUGUGUGUGUGUGCCACCGUGCAGUGCGGCAGAGCGAGUAGCGGCCAGCCAGCCAAGCACCAAACCAAACCACACCACACCGCACCACACCACACCUCACCACACCAACUCGCCGGCUAGGGUACAGCGAUGUGUGUGUGUGUGUGUGUGUGUGUGUGUGUGUGUGUGUGUGGUGGCGGCCUUGCGUGCGUGGCGGGCGUCACUCACCAGGCGCCGCUCGUCACCAUGCAUUCCCGAGGCGCCUUGAUUCGUGAGGUUAGUGGUGAUGGACGCCGCCAACCUGCCGCCGCCGCCGCGUGUAGCACAGUGAGAGUGAAAACCGCACGGCCGCCUCCCUCCCUCACCAUCAUUAUCCAGAAAAAUGUGAAAUGUCUCGGAAUUGGUUAAAAAAUAUAUAAGGACAGGAAGAAUGUAAGAUAACUGUGGAUUACUAUGGAGGGAAAUGGCCGACAGUUCGUUUUGCAAAUUUAUAUAAAGGAAAAUGUGACGCAGAAUUGUUAGCUGAGGAAAAUUGUGAACUGGUGUAGGAUUUGUUUGAAGAAAAUUAUUAGGAGAGAAAGAAAAAGAGAGAGGAAAAAAAAAGAUGCAAUAGGUAAGAAUUGGCUGAAAAAUGACUAUGGAUUGUGGUGAUGUAAAAUAGCUGAGAACUGCUGUGAAAAUUGAUACAAAGACGAGUGUGAAAUAACCAACAGUUCGCUCAGGAAUUAUUACAAGAAAAAAUAUGAGUUUCGAUCCCAAAAAAAUAUAACGAGGAAAAAAAAGUAGGAAGUUGUUGAGAAUUGGAUUGGCUUACUAGAAUUAUUACUUGUGAAAUGAAGCAGAGUGGCUGAAGUCUCGCUCUGGGAAUAUUGAACAGGAAAAUACUAGCUAAGGUUUUCGUUCAGGGUUUGCUUCGAGGAUGAUAAAUGUGAAAUAGCGGUGUGUUCGUUCAGAAAAAAAAAAGCGUACGAAGAAAUAAUAGACGAGGUUUUGUUCUAAUGACGCGUGUGAACAGUAUAAUUUUUUGUUUUAUUAUGAUUAUUAGUUCUAUUCUUAUCAUUCAUUGCUUUGAUUCUUAUUCGUUCAUACUAAUUUCACUCAUAUCAAUUGGUUUAUAUCGUGACUUUAUGCUUCAAAUCUGUUCUUUAUUGUCAUUUUUGUAGGUUCACGUGAAGAAAAAUAGUAUCGAUAUGAUUUCCUUACUUUCUGCCUUUAUCCUUCCUUGCAACAAACUUACACUUGACCAGCACUCACACCACACACCACACUAACCCAUUAACCUCACUCUAACCCCACUCUAACCUCAUACUAACCUCAAACACACCUAACGCCUCACAACCUACCCAACACUUCACUCUAACCCAUCACACACACACACACACACACACACACACACACACACACACACACACACACACACACAAAACACCAAACAACUUGCCUUACACCAUCAAACACAUCACACCUUGCCCAUCACCUCACACCUAAUAUACCUGCCCGGUACCUCACCUUAACCACCCACACACACCUUUCAUCCCUUCUCCACCUGUAUUAAUUAAGAAAUAAGAGGUAUAAGACUCCACCUGACACCGCACCAUUUAUGUCCAACGCAGAUAAAAAGUUGCUGCGUCCCUCUUUUAUCCAAGGGCCAGUCUUUAAGGGCGGACAGGAGCCCUUAGCUGGCAGGCGCCUCUUAAAACCGAGAUUGACUAAGCCACUUUAUCUGUAGGACGCCGUGGUAGGGAGUGAAGGAUAUGAGGGAAGGUAGAGGGUAGGAGAGAGUAAGGGGGGUUGUAGGAUGUGUGUGAGUGGUGUGUGUGUGUGUGUGUGUGUGUGUGUGUGUGUGUGUGUGUGUGUCUGCUACUGAGUCAAGAAAGGCACCCACUUAGACGCUCGUAAUUUCAUAUCUUAAGCACGUAAGUCUGAGAGAGAGAGAGAGAGAGAGAGAGAGAGAGA